AACGAACGCUGGCGGCGUGUUUAAGACAUGCAAGUCGCACGGGGCAACUUGGUAGCAAUACUUCAGUUGUUCAGUGGCGCACGGGUGAGUAACACGUGAAUGACAUGCCCUUCAGAGGGGGAUAGCCCAGGGAAACUUGGAUUAAUACCCCAUAGUCUAGCAAGAGUAAAGGUGGCCGCAAGGCUGUCGCUGGAGGAUUGGUUCGCGUUCUAUCAGCUUGUUGGCGGGGUAAUGGCCCACCAAGGCUACGACGGAUACCUGGUCUGAGAGGACGAUCAGGCACACUGGAACUGAGACACGGUCCAGACACCUACGGGUGGCAGCAGUCGAGAAUAAUUCACAAUGGGGGCAACCCUGAUGGUGCAACGCCGCGUGGAGGAUGACGGUCUUCGGAUUGUAAACUCCUGUCAUCUGGGAGUAAGACCUGGUCGUUAAUAGCGGACAGGGUUGAUAGUACCAGAAGAGGAAGGGACGGCUAACUUCGUGCCAGCCGCCGCGGUAAUAC
rnacentral:rRNA from 1 species